UAGUCGAGAGAAACGACAAUGACACUUUCUUGGCAAUGUUCGGGAUCGAUCUUGGAGUUCAAGAUUUCAGAUUUGGGGCUGAUUUUAAUGAGGAAAAAUGACAGCAAUAUGGUGGAGAAUAUGUUAACAAAUCUUGUGGCAAAAAGAAAAAGAAAAGAAAAAGAUGGUAAAAUUAGGUGUAGGCGACGACAACAAUGGAGGAAAGGAAAAAAAAUUAAAAACAAAGAG
rnacentral:lncRNA from 1 species